rnacentral:rRNA from 1 species
GAUUUGGGUGUGUUUGAAAAGAGAGCCGGAAGAACAGGUGUGCAUGGCUUUGUCAGGUUCGGUCGUGAGAGUGGGUUAAGUCCCGCAACGAGCGCAACCCUUGUGGUUAAUGCCCAUCAUUUAGUUGGGCACUUUAACGAGACUGCCGGUGACAAACCGGAGGAAGGUGGGGAUGACGUCAAGUCCUUCAUGGCCCUUAUGGGUAGGCUUCACACGUCAUACAAUGGUCGGNACAAAGGGUCGCCAACCCGCGAGGGGGAGCCAAUCCCAGAAAGCCGAUGGUAGUCCGGAUCGUAGGCUGCAACACGCCUGCGUGAAGUCGGAAUUGCUAGUAAUCGUGGAUCAGCAUGUCACGGUGAAAACGUUCCCCGGGUCUUGAACACACCGCCCGUCACACCAUGGGAGCGGGUUCCGCCAGAAGUAGGUAGCCUAACCGCAAGGGGGCGCUUACCACGGCGGGGUUCGUGACUGGGGUGAAGUCGUAACAAGGUAGCCGUA